AGAUUGAACGCUGGCGGCAUGCUUUACACAUGCAAGUCGAACGGUAACAGGCCGCAAGGUGCUGACGAGUGGCGAACGGGUGAGUAAUGUAUCGGAACGUGCCCAGUCGUGGGGGAUAACGCAGCGAAAGCUGCGCUAAUACCGCAUACGAUCUAUGGAUGAAAGCGGGGGACCGUAAGGCCUCGCGCGAUUGGAGCGGCCGAUAUCAGAUUAGGUAGUUGGUGGGGUAAAGGCUCACCAAGCCAACGAUCUGUAGCUGGUCUGAGAGGACGACCAGCCCACACUGGGACUGAGACACCGGCCCAGACCUCCGUAACGGGAGGCAGCGAGGUGGGGAAUUUUGGACAAGUGGCGCAAGCC
rnacentral:rRNA from 1 species